CUUUUGCCCUACAUUAUUUGACUUCCUUAAAUCCAGCUUUAAAUGAUCCAGCAAAUCAAAAUCUCUUCUUUAAUUUGCUGAUCAAAAAAGACAAGAAAAAAGAACUUAAAUUAAAAAAAAGAAUCCGUACGUGGCAAAUAGAUUAGAACCCUAUUUGAUCAGAGAACGGAGAUUGUAUUCUUGAAUCGUGGUUGUUUUUUAGUCUUUUAUUCUUUGACGAGUUAUCUAUUUAAUUUUUUUCUUGAUCUGGCCGGAACUCCUUUUAUACUUGAAUUGACCGUUCUCAAAUACAUAGGAGUACUAUUAGACAUCGCCUUUGUCAAUGUUAUCGUACAUGGAAUUCAUACACGUUCACAUUAUAAAGAAAACAAUUUAAUCACAACACAUUCAUAUACCAUGAGUUGGAAGCUAGCUAGUCAAUAAAUAUGUUUGACAUGGAUCCUAUCAUUAUCUCCAGGAAGAAAAAGUCUGGUAAGAAAUGUGAUUACUGAGAAGAUGUGACUAGUGAUUUUGGACAUUUUGUGAGACAGAGUGAGUAUAUAGUAAGGAUAAAAUUGGUAAACCAUACAACUAUAGGUUUGAAUUGUAAUCCAUGAAUGUGAAUAGGAUGAAAACUUUACUCCACAUGGGACCGGGAUUUAAUUUAUCAAUUUGGUGAUGUUUUUUGUCUUCCACGUGUCUUUCUGUAAUCAGCUUGUACGCACUUACCACUCUCUGGUUGAGACCUUUCGUGGGUCCUUCUAUGUCCGACAAAGACGAUCGAAAUCGUUCAAUUUUAAGUCUUAUCGACAAUAUUAGUUAUGCCAAAAAUCAUGUCGAUCGGAAAAAAUAUAGUAACACACCCGAUAAACGAAUUCUGAGAUCAUAUCUUUCAAUGCCAGAUGGGCACACUUUUUGGCACAAACAAUAUUCAAGAAGAUAUUUUAAAAAAGAACGAUCCAAAAUUAUCUUAUUGGCACGGGAGUUGAGGCCGGGGGAACGUAUAUAGGUGGGGCCCAGGCCGCCCAACCUUUCUAGAAUCAUUCUAUGUAAAACAUAAAAUGCACAAUAAAUAUUUAUAAUGUACUCUACCGAUCCCCCAAACUUCAAAAUGUAAAAUAUAUAGUGGCUAUUAGGGCUAAAAUUAUUAAUUAAUUCUUUUUUGUAUGUAUAUGUGUGUUUUGCCCAAUAUAAUUGAAAAUGGCUCUCUUUUCUCUUGUACAAUAAUAUUCCUCAGGUUUCAUGCAUGAACUUCAAACUGUAUGCAAGGAAGACUUCAAAAUCCAACAGCCGUGAAUAUGACUAUUUUUAGGUUCUAAGUUUUGCCCCCCUAUAUGUAAAUCAUAGCUCCGUCUCUAUUAGAAAGGGUGGGUUCACAAAAGACCUGAACAUGACCCUCAAAUUUUCUUAGAAGAAAAGGAUUUUGAAACAAUUUUUUGCUAAUCGGCGAAGUUUUGAACAAUUUUUUGUUGGUCUUUACCCUUUGACAAAUAAAUUAACAAGCUUUGGAGGCGAACUCAUAACAAGCUUUGGAGGCAAGGGCGGGACCAGAAUUCUAAUUUGUCCCGGGCCAACCAAAAUAGAGUUUGCUUACCCUUGUGGCAAGUUGAAGAGGCACUAGAACUAGUGGAUGUAUUCUGAUAUCCUCAAUGCCACAAUGUCUAUUUGAUUAGUUGAUGCAACUCAAAUUUGAGAAGAGAACGCUCUCUACCUAUACCUGCAGUAAAAAGAAAUAUAGUAAACAGAAAAUAGACUACCUUUAAUGUCAACUUCCCCAAGAUAGAAGUAAGAUAUUUCCCCUACAGUUUUUUUUUUUUUUUUUUUGAAAUAAUAUUCGCCCUACUACGUUUAUCUCAACAAAUAGCAACUCAAUAUAACGGGGAGUAGAGGGGAACAUCCGUGGAUUGGAUUGCAAUCUCAAAGAGACCAAAACAUGAGUAAAAUCUCAGCAAGGGGACACAUCAUAAAGAACAAUGCAAAGUAUCAAACACCAAAGAGACAAAAGGAAAAAUCGUCGACCAUUUGCAGAGAGGGGCAACCAACAUAAAAAAAAUAUUCCCAAAUCAGUUACUCCCUCAUCCAAGAGUAAUGAACAUAUAUCUUGAUAAAUGCGUAUAUUGUCUACCCAUUUUAUAGCUACAAUUUGAAUUAACCCCUUUUUCAUAGUAAUUUUGUUUUUCCUUAACCGAGUUCCACAAAUUAACCCAUUGUAUAUAUCUGCAUAUGCAUGUAAAAUAAAAAAAGUGGCUAUGUAGUGAAAAAUAAUUGAUUUCUUUUAUGUGUAUAUGUAUGUUUUGUCUAGUAUAAAUAGAAAAUUACUAAUUUUUUUUUUUUAGAAUAUUGCUCCAAGCUCCGUCCUGCGGGACAGGGGCCUGACUUGAGGGUGUCGUAGGUCUUUACCCUUUGACAAAUAAAUUAACAAACUCAUUUUUCAACUUUGAAUUACUACUUUAAUUAGUAGGAGUAUAUACUUUCGAGAACUCCAUGGUUGAUUAAAUAUUAAUAGAAGUCACCAAUGAGAAGGCAAGGAACUCUUCCAUCGAAAUCUUUUAGCUGCAUUGUCGAGAUCUGAGAGCCGAUACUACUAUUAUCCCACUACUCAUAAAACACCAUCAUCCCAACAAUAUAGAAUUAAUUGUGUCAAUGAGAUAUGUAUAUCGAACACUAUAAUCAACACCAAAAGAGUAAUAAAGUUAUAAAGGCAGCAUACCUGAAUAAAUUAGGCACACUCGUUUUUCAACUUUGAACUCUUACUUUAAUGCUUUCAAGAAUUAACUCCAUGAUUGAUUAAUUGAUAUCAUCCAAUCUUUAAGCAUAUUGGUGGCAUCUGAAAUUAAGCCAAUAAUAAUCUAUAUUAUCCCACUGCUCAUAAAAACACACUCAUCCCAACAAUAUAGAAUGAUUUCAAGUUUAUGGCAUACCUGAAUAAAUUAAAGCGUGUAGAAGAUAAAGAUAAGAGGCAGACCACAGGAAAUGGCAAACUCAAGAUUGAGUGGUAGAGAUAGAGAGAGUGUAGAUGGACUGACUGAACGGGUGGAACCAUUUUUUUUUUGACAU